rnacentral:lncRNA from 1 species
CUCAAAUUAGGCACAGGGCUCCUUUUUGGCCAAUAUCGCAAUUCCAGCACGGCAUCUCCCCCGUACUCCGACGGCGGCGAUUCGCCUCGGGUUGGCCGUUUUCGGCUGAAUUCGGCCAUACUUGCAUCGGUUCCUGCGAUAAAACAACCCUAGGGCCCUCGAGGAGCCAAAAAAAAUUACGAAAAAUCGAAGCUUACCGGCGGCGGUGCUCUCGGGUGCGACGGCUCUCCGGUGAGGUUCGUGCUUUGGUGAUUCGGCUCCGAUCAAUUGUGCAAUGAAGGUUGGGUCUCGGUGAUGAUAAGCUGCAAUGUAUAUGAUUGCCGCUCGGAAAUUAAGGACAGCAGAGAGAGAGCUUCUUCUGUGACAGAGAUGGCCUGAGCUGCUUGGAGUCGCGCUGAAGAAAAUACAGAGAUGGGUGAUAUUUGUGCUUAUGUCAAUAGUAGAGGCCGGUAAUUGGUUCUGCGAGUAGAAGGAAAAUAAAGAAUGAGAAGAACAAUUUGAGGGGAUUUUUCUAAGUAUUUUGCGAAGAGUCCAUGGAGAAGAUGAGCUCUCUCUCUCUUCUCGGCCUCCUCUCUCUCUCUACGCCCCUUUGGCCUCAAGGAUUCCUCCUUUCUCUGUUUUCGAGUUUCGUUCUUCAUAGUGGAGCGAAGCUGUUUAGAUCAGCAUCCCCGCACUGAAGAUUCUCCAAAAAUCACGAAAACCCAUCUCUUCUCGCUCGCGACGUGCACGUCCUUCCUUCCUUCUUCUUCUCCCGUUUUCUGCGCCACUACGCUGCUUAUAGUGGAGCGAAGCUGUUUAGAUCAGCAUCC